rnacentral:rRNA from 1 species
CCUCCAAGGCUAAAUACUCCUGACUGACCGAUAGUGAACCAGUACCGUGAGGGAAAGGCGAAAAGAACCCCGGCGAGGGGAGUGAAAAAGAACCUGAAACCGUGUACGUACAAGCAGUGGGAGCACAGAGCAAUCUGUGUGACUGCGUACCUUUUGUAUAAUGGGUCAGCGACUUAUAUUCUGUAGCAAGGUUAACCGAAUAGGGGAGCCGAAGGGAAACCGAGUCUUAACUGGGCGUUAAGUUGCAGGGUAUAGACCCGAAACCCGGUGAUCUAGCCAUGGGCAGGUUGAAGGUUGGGUAACACUAACUGGAGGACCGAACCGACUAAUGUUGAAAAAUUAGCGGAUGACUUGUGGCUGGGGGUGAAAGGCCAAUCAAACCGGGAGAUAGCUGGUUCUCCCCGAAAGCUAUUUAGGUAGCGCCUCGUGAAUUCAUCUCCGGGGGUAGAGCACUGUUUCGGCAAGGGGGUCAUCCCGACUUACCAACCCGAUGCAAACUGCGAAUACCGGAGAAUGUUAUCACGGGAGACACACGGCGGGUGCUAACGUCCGUCGUGAAGAGGGAAACAACCCAGACCGCCAGCUAAGGUCCCAAAGUCAUGGUUAAGUGGGAAACGAUGUGGGAAGGCCCAGACAGCCAGGAUGUUGGCUUAGAAGCAGCCAUCAUUUAAAGAAAGCGUAAUAGCUCACUGGUCGAGUCGGCCUGCGCGGAAGAUGUAACGGGGCUAAACCAUGCACCGAAGCUGCGGCAGCGACGCUGAUGCGUUGUUGGGUAGGGGAGCGUUCUGUAAGCCUGUGAAGGUGUGCUGUGAGGCAUGCUGGAGGUAUCAGAAGUGCGAAUGCUGACAUAAGUAACGAUAAAGCGGGUGAAAAGCCCGCUCGCCGGAAGACCAAGGGUUCCUGUCCAACGUUAAUCGGGGCAGGGUGAGUCGACCCCUAAGGCGAGGCCGAAAGGCGUAGUCGAUGGGAAACAGGUUAAUAUUCCUGUACUUGGUGUUACUGCGAAGGGGGGACGGAGAAGGCUAUGUUGGCCGGGCGACGGUUGUCCCGGUUUAAGCGUGUAGGCUGGUUUUCCAGGCAAAUCCGGAAAACUAAGGCUGAGGCGUGAUGACGAGGCACUACGGUGCUGAAGCAACAAAUGCCCUGCUUCCAGGAAAAGCCUCUAAGCAUCAGGUAACAUCAAAUCGUACCCCAAACCGACACAGGUGGUCAGGUAGAGAAUACCAAGGCGCUUGAGAGAACUCGGGUGAAGGAACUAGGCAAAAUGGUGCCGUAACUUCGGGAGAAGGCACGCUGAUAUGUAGGUGAAGUCCCUCGCGGAUGGAGCUGAAAUCAGUCGAAGAUACCAGCUGGCUGCAACUGUUUAUUAAAAACACAGCACUGUGCAAACACGAAAGUGGACGUAUACGGUGUGACGCCUGCCCGGUGCCGGAAGGUUAAUUGAUGGGGUCAGCGCAAGCGAAGCUCUUGAUCGAAGCCCCGGUAAACGGCGGCCGUAACUAUAACGGUCCUAAGGUAGCGAAAUUCCUUGUCGGGUAAGUUCCGACCUGCACGAAUGGCGUAAUGAUGGCCAGGCUGUCUCCACCCGAGACUCAGUGAAAUUGAACUCGCUGUGAAGAUGCAGUGUACCCGCGGCAAGACGGAAAGACCCCGUGAACCUUUACUAUAGCUUGACACUGAACAUUGAGCCUUGAUGUGUAGGAUAGGUGGGAGGCUUUGAAGUGUGGACGCCAGUCUGCAUGGAGCCGACCUUGAAAUACCACCCUUUAAUGUUUGAUGUUCUAACGUUGACCCGUAAUCCGGGUUGCGGACAGUGUCUGGUGGGUAGUUUGACUGGGGCGGUCUCCUCCUAAAGAGUAACGGAGGAGCACGAAGGUUGGCUAAUCCUGGUCGGACAUCAGGAGGUUAGUGCAAUGGCAUAAGCCAGCUUGACUGCGAGCGUGACGGCGCGAGCAGGUGCGAAAGCAGGUCAUAGUGAUCCGGUGGUUCUGAAUGGAAGGGCCAUCGCUCAACGGAUAAAAGGUACUCCGGGGAUAACAGGCUGAUACCGCCCAAGAGUUCAUAUCGACGGCGGUGUUUGGCACCUCGAUGUCGGCUCAUCACAUCCUGGGGCUGAAGUAGGUCCCAAGGGUAUGGCUGUUCGCCAUUUAAAGUGGUACGCGAGCUGGGUUUAGAACGUCGUGAGACAGUUCGGUCCCUAUCUGCCGUGGGCGCUGGAGAACUGAGGGGGGCUGCUCCUAGUACGAGAGGACCGGAGUGGACGCAUCACUGGUGUUCGGGUUGUCAUGCCAAUGGCACUGCCCGGUAGCUAAAUGCGGAAGAGAUAAGUGCUGAAAGCAUCUAAGCACGAAACUUGCCCCGAGAUGAGUUCUCCCUGACUCCUUGAGAGUCCUGAAGGAACGUUGAAG